AGUGAACGCUGGCGGUAGGCCUAACACAUGCAAGUCGAACGGCAGCACAGUAAGAGCUUGCUCUUACGGGUGGCGAGUGGCGGACGGGUGAGGAAUACAUCGGAAUCUACUUUUUCGUGGGGGAUAACGUAGGGAAACUUACGCUAAUACCGCAUACGACCUACGGGUGAAAGCAGGGGAUCUUCGGACCUUGCGCGAUUGAAUGAGCCGAUGUCGGAUUAGCUAGUUGGCGGGGUAAAGGCCCACCAAGGCGACGAUCCGUAGCUGGUCUGAGAGGAUGAUCAGCCACACUGGAACUGAGACACGGUCCAGACUCCUAAGGGAGGGAGCAGUGGGGAAUAUUGGACAAUUGGCGCAAGCCUGAUCCAGCCAUACCGCGGGGGUGAAGAAGGCCUUCGGGUUGGAAAGCCCUUUUGUUUGGAAAGAAAAGCAGCAGGUUAAUACCCCGCUGUUCUGACGGUACCCAAAGAAUAAGCACCGGCUAACUUCGUG
rnacentral:rRNA from 1 species